AAUUCCUUCAGUUCAAAGAAUUAUUGGGCAAAUCCCAAUAUGAUACGAUUCAGCCACCUAUGAUGUCCUCAGAAAAUGUCCCUGCCUUAGGUGCUGAGGAUAAGGACUUAGCUGAAACUUGGGGGGAAGCUGUUCACGAUCCGAAAGGAAAGGCCCAAAAUAUUCGGAGACAUAAUGGGGCCAAAAGCUCUAAACUGGAUGCUAGAAAGACGUCUCAAGAAUUGAACAGUACAUCUAUCCCGGCCUCUCUUAAAGCGCCC